CUCAACCACACCUUAGCAGCCUCAUCCUGAGCCGACAGCCGAGGCAAUGCUGUACAGUCAACAGCAUGUACCCAAAUACCUGUUACGGGCUGCAAAACCUGCAGAGCAAACAGAAGAAGUAACUGAAACUGCCACAGUUUCUCACGGUGGCACCAACAAUGCUUCUAAGUAAAGAAAGGGAAAAGAAGGAAAUGUGCUACUUAAGCACAGGAAAAGUUGGAACAUUAUGUUUUGUUGCUACCUGGUGAAUGGAGGUGCACCUGUCAGACAUGACCAUGUGAUGGCAGCGUAGUAUCAUCAGCACAGCCCACGGACUGAAACUCACCAGCACUUGUCAUUUUCAAGUUAGCAAAUACACUAAAAUACUGUAUAAGCCCACUUCUAUGUACUGAAGCACUCUUUUUUAAAUUCUAAGCAAUUGUUCCAAACUUUCUUUCAUCAUUGGAUUGAACAAAAAGGCUGUUAAUCUCGAUUAAUGAAUCCAGACUGCAGUCACUACAUUGUUCUCCUGUGAAUGUUUGUCUUUUGUCAUUAGUUUAACAAAUACUCUGCGGAGAGACAAGUAGUGUUGAAAUGAAUCACAAAAACUUAAUCUUUGCAUUAAUUUUAUUGUUUUUUAUAAAGCAAAGCAGAAAUCCAUUUAAAACCACCACAAUUCAAAACUCGUAUCCUAUAUAUGAAUUUAAUAAAGAACAAUUCAUUUAUUUUUCUUAUGCAACAUUGCUGCCUUAUAAGAGACUUUACAGAAGUGAAAUAUAUUUUGUAGAUCCUGAUUGAACUAAAUCAUUUAAAAUGCAGAAAAUAUACACCUUACAAUGGUCAAUUGUUAGAAGUGAGCCUUAAUUUCAGCAUCACAGAAAUACAACUCUGGUUCGCAGAAUUAAAGUGCAAAGCUCAAAACACAAGGUUCAUUUGAUCUCACAAUAACUUGUUGAUAAACUGUAGAAUAAAUGUAGUGAAAUAUAUAUACUCUAAAAUAGGGAAGAGUAGAAGCAUAAAGUUAUGAACAACAGAAUCAAGUAAAGAUAAACUUCCUUAAAAUUUUACUUAAUUAUGGAAGCUGAGUAAAUAUCCUUUAAAAAAAUUAGAUCAUAUUCCUUUUUUUUGCCUUUCCAAAAGGUGGUAGUAAUUAACAAACUUAGAAAUUAUGGCAAUAGACAGACAUAAAUGUGGAAAACAAAUAUGUAGUUUAAGUUAUUUUUAUGCAAGUAUCAGUUUUGUAUUUUUCCUGCAAAAAGAUAAGGAAUCUAUUCAGAACAUAACUGAUUUUUUUAGAAUAAAGUUGUGUACACCUUUUGACAUUGGCAUGCUAAAUAUUAAUGACUGAUUCAAAAUGUUAUUCCAUUGUUUUUAAAACCAAAUACAAAAACAAAAUAAAAAAUGUACAUGCAGACGUUAUAGCAAAAUCCAGAAGUCAUUCUCUGUUUAAAGCUCAUCACUUAUAAACUCAGAAAAACCUUGACUUGUUCAGUUUUUAUUAACUUCUGUUAGUCACGCUGGACGACUUAAAAUAUGAAACGUUAGGUAUCAACUUCAAAUGUGACUUUAUUUAGUGUAGAUUAAUAACCUUUUGGGAUAUGUAAAGAAAAUUAUUGCAUCUCAGACUCUUGUAUUGCACUGUUGUUUAUUUGGUGAAAGUAAUUUUGAUUUAUUUAUUGUUUGUAUGCCCAUUUUGCUCUUUUUUAUACAUUACUAAUAAAUUUCAGUUUCAACCUGUCCACCAUAUAUUUCCACAGAGUGACACAACAGCAAAAACAGUAAUAUUCCUGCCCCAGUUACAGUGUAGUCUUCUGUCCGUUAGCCAUUUAGGUUACAAAUAUGAGGUAGGAUAGAAAAUGUGAGAUGUUCAGGUCCUGUGUCUGACAGUGGGGCUGACCUCAAAGCAGUUAAGACUGCUUCUGUCAGUCUCAAAGCAAUAUGGCCCACUUACAAACUCAUCCACCUAAGAUGCUGCUUCUUCCACCUCUCUGAUCAUUGGGCAAGGGAUGCUGCCAUCUUUAAUAACCACUCUGGUAUUGUCUUCCAACUGAUGAUAGAAGAAGA